GACGAACGCUGGCGGUGUGCUUAACACAUGCAAGUGGUGCGACGAACCUGGCUUCGGCCAGGGGCAAAGCCGCGAACGGGUGAGUAACACGUGGGUAAUCUGCCCCGAUGACUGGGACAACCCGAGGAAACUCGGGCUAAUACCGGAUGUGGUGCCUGGACAUAAGUCUGGUCACUAAAGGUAGCUUCGGCUUCCGCAUUGGGAGGGGCCCGCGGCCCAUUAGCUUGUUGGUGGGGUCAAGGCCUACCAAGGCAACGAUGGGUAGCUGGUCUGAGAGGACGAUCAGCCACACUGGGACUGAGACACGGCCCAGACUCCUACGGGAGGCAGCAGUGGGGAAUCUUGCGCAAUGCGCGAAAGCGUGACGCAGCAACACCGCGUGAGGGAAGACGGCCUUAGGGUUGUAAACCUCUUUCAGAUGGGACGAAGGUUGUCCGGUGAAUAGCCGAGAUGAUUGACGGUACCGUCAGAAGAAGCUUCGGCUAACUACGUGCCAGCCGCCGCCGUAAGAC
rnacentral:rRNA from 1 species